AAAAACCAAAUCAACAAAAACUAUUCUUCCAGACAACCUCUAUAAACGUUCCAAACUAAAAUUCAUGAGAUUCCCUUCAGAGUAUUUUGUUGUUCCAAAUAAAGAAAUUCUGUAAUAUAAAGAGCUUUUUAAGACACAGAUAUAAGGUGAUGCCUUAUACUUGCCUAUCCAUCCUAUUUUUCUCUAUGCUUUGCUGGUCUGAGUAGACAGGGUUGGUAAUGACCCCAAAUGGAACACUUCUGUAAGUGAUGGGAAGAUCUCAUGCAGUGUCCUUCAUCAGAAGUACCCAUUACCUAGUGCCCUUGUUGGCACUGGAGCUGGAAGGCUCAGGAUAGCAGGGAACAGGCAGCCCACAGUCCUGGAAGCAGGCCUGGUGGCACAGACCCGGGUAUGGAGUGUUAGUGGUGGCAGAAGAGGGGAGUCACUGUUUUCUUCAUUAGUUAAUGCCUCUCCCCUGGAGGGAGGGCAAGAGCUAUGGUCUACACAGCCAAAGUGAGAGGGUGGUUGAGCAAUUCUCCAGCAAACUCAGGCAAAAUCAGGCAAGCAUAUUUAGGCCUAGGAGUCCUGGUUACCACAGCCUGAAGUGAUAGGGACAGAAAGUGAAAGGAACAGAAAACCAGUCUGUAUUUGUUUUAUGUGAAUUUUGGAGCAAUGGCUUUUCCAAAGGAGGAAAGAAAAAGUUAUUCUUUUUAAAACACAGUUGAAGAAGAGGAUGCUUUUCCUAUGGACAUAGUAGGCCAUUUACCAACGAGUUAUUAUGAUAAAAAAUACCUACUGGGCCUGUGUAGGAAGCCUGGAAUUCUCUUACUUUAUUGUAUUUUCCUCUAAGGAUAUAUUGCGUUAUUCCACAACAGGCUGGUCAUAAUCUUUGAGAGAUUUACUUCUGAGACUUUUUGGUGUGGCUUCAUUCACACUUCACAUUUCCUAAGACAGACAGUUUUGGCUACUUUGAAAGAACCCUCCCUCAAACAUAAACAUCACAGCAUCCUGACUUUAGAGUGUCUGUCUCAACAUUUCAAUGUUAGAAGGUUUAUUGGAAUGCAGACAAAUAAAAUAAGAUAAAUAAAAUCUCAGUGUGCUUAAACUGAGAGCAGGUUCUUUUUUGGAAGACGUGUGUGUGUGUGUGUUUUGAUGAGCUAAGUGUUGAUUAUAACCCAAAAAAGACGGAAAAGUGUGAGAUUAGAUAAGUGUCUGCUAGAUCCAUUAUUGCUGUGUGCAUUCUGUGAAAUGGGCUUAGAGUUCACUAGUUGUAGCUGCAGGAUAAACUUCACUUGUUGUUUAUUCUCAGUCUGAUUAGGCCACCAUUGAAAACAGAAUGUGAACUACUGUCCAGAAGCCCUCUGUGAACUUCAGGUCUGCCUUAGGAGGGACGCUUCCAGCGAGGGGGCGCGUGAUGAAGUCUGCAGGCAUUGCUGGGGCAAAACGCUAAGUGGCCGCUGGCCAGGGUAGAAGUUAAACCAGGAGAUGGCUGUCAAAUGCAGUUGUUAGGUGUGGCACAUCUUUCUCAAGCUGCUGAGCUGAGCAGGAAAGAGAGACGUUUGUUUAUGGAUUUAUCUCAUCUAUAAGACACUCUUAUUAGAUGAACUCUAUAUCAGUUCUAUGUAGAACUCUGUACCAGUUCUGUAAGGCACUCUUUAAUCUGAAUCUUUUUAUUUGCUCAAGAGAAAAACAAGUCUGACUUGCAUCCCAUUGAAGAUUUAGAUUGCACUGUUUACAUCUUUCACCUGCGCCGCGGUAGCGUCCUCUACCGAUGCUAUCCUACGUUGAUUUUUCCAGCAACCUGGGAAGCAACCUCAUAGGUGGUUUGGGAUGUCUUUUGGCUGUGCUUAAAAAUUUCCAACAGAUUUGCUGCACAUCUUAGGAUAAAUAUGUUUCCUGUGAAUUGUGAUGAUUUCUUACAGUACAUUUGCAAGCAUGUGUAUGCAUCUGCAGGAAACAUAGCCUGGUUCUGUGAAGGAAUACUGCUGUGACCGCGAAACUGUUUCUGUGGAAUUUUCUCCGGUGUGGUCAUCCUGCCUUCAGGUCAGUGAAUAGAUGGUGUUUGGACAGCGUCUGGCACAGAUACUUUAACCUUAAAGCUUAAUGUAUAACUGGUAUUUUUUCCCCUUCUGUGUCAGCAGUUGGCAACGGGACACUGUAAAUAAGGAUUCUGGUUUGUAAAUGGACGUCUGUUCCUCCAGGGGAGGGGAAGGCUGGAGUAAGCAGUUUUGAAAUUCAUGCUGCAAGUGAUAAGAUAAUUUGAGUAACCUGUAAGACCUGUGGAUUCACAGGUUUCAAAAACAGGAAAGUCUCUUGUUUGAAAACCCUCUAAAGCAACAUGUGGGCUUAGAAAAGAAGCCGGCUUGUGGUUUGGUGAUUGUACUUCCUUAUUGAUAUAAUGGCCGCUGACGCAAGGCCUCCUGGGAUUGCAGCGCGGUGACCGCAGGCCUGACGGUUACCCUGACCGGGUUCUGAAACAGCCCGGGGCUUUCAGCACAGAUGAGAAGUCUAAAAAUUUCCCUUUUCAUUUCCUCUCUUGUGUGACUUUGUCAUUUUUAAAAAAACUGGUCACAGAAAAGGGAAUUUUGCCCAUGCUUUUAAGGAGUUUAUCUCGACUGAGUAGCUUCCCCGCCACUCCUCUAAAAUCCCUCCUCAAAAACCCCAAGUUAAAAAGAAAAAAAGAUCUAUUCUUGUAGAUUUUUUUGUGUGGGUCUAUGUUUCAUUCAUCUGCUUUCAGGCUGGAUUUAUAACAAGCAGAUCUUUUAAAACGGUAUGAUUUUAAAAUAAAAUUAAAAAAAAAACACGCUGAGAUCUUUCCAUAGCUUUGGCUUCUGGGAGUUGAAAGCGCAGCUUCAGGAAAAAGAGGACCUUAGAACUGAAGGAGCAAGAUUCCAACAUCACACUGUUUUUGUUAGCUGUGUGUGUGUGUUUCCUGUGUAUCCAAAAGACAGAGGAGAUGAAAAAGCAAAAGAAAAGAAACGAGGAAUCAGAUUGGAAAGAAGGUUUCUCCAGGACGUCACCUGUAUGAGGUACACAGUGUGAUGACACACUCUGUGCUUUUCCUACUUGUGUCCACGUGAGUGUCUGGAGCUGCCCUUCAAGGAAGGCAAUAGAUGAAUGAUUCUGCCUUCCUGUUGAGAGGGAUGUGGGUCCUGCGGAUGGUCGGGGUGAAGCUUCCUCUCCUUUCUGCUGAUGGCACUUCCUCAUUAAAUGCAGAGAUCUGCAAAAAGGGAAAAUAAAAACACAAGAAGAAAAAUGAGGCAUCAAAGACCCUCCUCUUAUGCCCAUGGGGAUUUGGAGGACGGGUUAUUUCUUUGCUUUCCCAAAGGGCCCAAGAAGAGCUUCUGGGGAGAGGGAGAGCACCCUUUUUGAGGAUUCCCGACAAGCCUGUCUCCCGAGGGCUCCUGUAGGAGAGGCGGUAACUAGGGUGCAGAUCAUUUUCUGUGUUAAGGGCAUCCAAGGAGAGAAGAGAGUGACCGCUUAUGACUUGGGAGGCCCGUAAAGAUGGGGUCCUGGAUGAGCAGUAGCAAGGAGGGUACAGGGAUGGGUGUGCCUUGGGGGCUGGCAGUGAGGACGGCAUUGUCCCUAGAGAGUUUAAAGACAAGAAUCAAUCCAGCUCCAAGUGAGACUGCUUUUAAACCAUUUUAAUUGCCACACACCAGUAAGUUCAAGCAAUAUCAGUGAUAAAAUCUCCUUCCGUUGGGCAGCCAGUCCUUCUGCACCCUCCUGGUGUGUCCUGAGUGAGUGGGGUAGGGAGGAGCUAGUGUGGCCCGAAGACAAAGGAACCCGAGAUAUUUCUUUCCUCUUCCAAGCAAGAGAGGCUGGAGACAGCACAUGAGUGUUCAGGGAUCCUUGGGGGUCAAAAGAGUCACCUGAGAGAAAGGAAGAGAGGGGAACUGCCACAGCUCAA